GGCAGCAGAGCGAGUGGUGAGUGGUCCCGCUCCUCUUCCCCCCACCACCACCCGCCGAGAGCUAUGCCAGUUGGGGAGGACAAUGCUGCAGCGUGGGACGCAACACAGUGAGGGGCGUGGCCUGGAGGACGCAUUACCCUAGCGACCACCACCGUGGCGGCGCGGACUUGAUCUAAUCGUAGAGCGGGAAAGGGCUCACAAAAAGAACCCAUUCCAGAGGUCGGAGCAGCUAAUCUAUUGGAUCUUCCUCUUGGGGUCAAGCUGCCUGUUAUCCCAGGAAGCAACAAUGUAUUCUACACUACAAAUAUAAGUGAAAAGAAAAUCAUUGAAAAACAAGUAAAUAAAUUGAAUGAAACCAAGAAAGCCUAUGACAGUUAUGGAAACGCACAAUUCCAAGAAUGGCUGUUACAGGAAGGUACACACACAA